UAAGACUGGGAUAACUCCGGGAAACCGGGGCUAAUACCGGAUAAUAUUUUGAACUGCAUGGUUCGAAAUUGAAAGGCGGCUUCGGCUGUCACUUAUGGAUGGACCCGCGUCGCAUUAGCUAGUUGGUGAGGUAACGGCUCACCAAGGCAACGAUGCGUAGCCGACCUGAGAGGGUGAUCGGCCACACUGGGACUGAGACACGGCCCAGACUCCUACGGGAGGCAGCAGUAGGGAAUCUUCCGCAAUGGACGAAAGUCUGACGGAGCAACGCCGCGUGAGUGAUGAAGGCUUUCGGGUCGUAAAACUCUGUUGUUAGGGAAGAACAAGUGCUAGUUGAAUAAGCUGGCACCUUGACGGUACCUAACCAGAAAGCCACGGCUAACUACGUGCCAGCAGCCGCGGUAAUACGUAGGUGGCAAGCGUUAUCCGGAAUUAUUGGGCGUAAAGCGCGCGCAGGUGGUUUCUUAAGUCUGAUGUGAAAGCCCACGGCUCAACCGUGGAGGGUCAUUGGAAACUGGGAGACUUGAGUGCAGAAGAGGAAAGUGGAAUUCCAUGUGUAGCGGUGAAAUGCGUAGAGAUAUGGAGGAACACCAGUGGCGAAGGCGACUUUCUGGUCUGUAACUGACACUGAGGCGCGAA
rnacentral:rRNA from 1 species